rnacentral:rRNA from 1 species
AUUGAACGCUGGCGGAAUGCUUUACACAUGCAAGUCGAACGGCAGCACGGGGGCAACCCUGGUGGCGAGUGGCGAACGGGUGAGUAAUACAUCGGAACGUGCCCAGUCGUGGGGGAUAACGUAGCGAAAGCUACGCUAAUACCGCAUACGAUCUACGGAUGAAAGCGGGGGAUCGCAAGACCUCGCGCGAUUGGAGCGGCCGAUGGCAGAUUAGGUAGUUGGUGGGUAAAGGGACGUCACCAAGCCGACGAUCUGUAGCUGGUCUGAGAGGACGACCAGCCACACUGGGAC